rnacentral:rRNA from 1 species
AUACGUAGGGGGCGAGCGUUGUCCGGAAUGAUUGGGCGUAAAGGGCGCGUAGGCGGCCCGUUAAGUCUGAAGUGAAAGUCCUGGUUUUAAGCUGGGAAUUGCUUUGGAUACUGACGGGCUUGAGUGCAGGAGAGGUAAGUGGAAUUCCCAGUGUAGCGGUGAAAUGCGUAGAGAUUGGGAGGAACACCAGUGGCGAAGGCGACUUACUGGACUGUAACUGACGCUGAGGCGCGAAAGUGUGGGGAGCAAACAGGAUUAGAUACCCUGGUAGUCCACACUGUAAACGAUGAAUGCUAGGUGUAGGGGGUAUCGACCCCUUCUGUGCCGCAGUAAACACAAUAAGCACUCCGCCUGGGGAGUACGGUCGCAAGACUGAAACUUAAAGGAAUUGACGGGG